rnacentral:rRNA from 1 species
UACGAAGGGGGCUAGCGUUGUUCGGAAUUACUGGGCGUAAAGGGCGCGUAGGCGGUACUUCAAGUCAGGCGUGAAAGCCCCGGGCUCAACCUCGGAACUGCCUUCGAUACUGGCGACCUUCGAGUCCGGGAGAGGUGAGUGGAACUCCGAGUGUAGAGGUGAAAUUCGUAGAUAUUCGGAAGAACACCAGUGGCGAAGGCGGCUCACUGGCCCGGUACUGACGCUGAGAUACGAAAGCGUGGGGAGCAAACAGG